AGAGUUUGAUCAUGGCUCAGAACGAACGCUGGCGGCGUGCCUAACACAUGCAAGUCGUGCGCGAAAGUCUUCGGAUGAGUAGAGCGGCGCACGGGUGAGUAACACGUGGGUAAUCUACCCUAAGGUCUGGAAUAACCCGGCGAAAGCCGGGCUAAUACCGGUUAAGACCACGAAACGUGAGUUUUGUGGCAAAAGUGGGGGACUUCUUCGGAGGCCUCACGCCAUAGGAUGAGCCCGCGGCCCAUCAGCUAGUUAGCGGGGUAACGGCCCACCAAGGCUAAGACGGGUAGCUGGUCUGAGAGGAUGAUCAGCCACACUGGAACUGAGACACGGUCCAGACUCCUACGGGAGGCAGCAGUGGGGAAGCUUGCGCAAUGGGCGAAAGCCUGACGCAGCAACGCCGCGUGUGUGAUGAAGGUCUUCGGAUCGUAAAGCACUGUCGGCAGGAACGAUGGUCCUGGAAGUGAACAACAACUGGGAUUGACGGUACCUGCAAAGGAAGCACCGGCUAACUCUGUGCCAGCCGCCGCGGUAAUUC
rnacentral:rRNA from 1 species